GUCAUUCAGGGAUCCCGGCUCUUUCAUGCAAAAGUUCUGCCAUUCCCUUAGGCCCUGGAGUUUUCAGCUAGUUUUCUGCAGAGGGUCAGCAAAGGGGUGAAGGGAAGAAAUAGGAUGGAGCAUCCUGCUGGAGGAUUAGGGUUCGGGCCUGGGGGGGUGGCCAGCACAUCAUUCACAUGCCUAUCUUGCUGACCAGAACUCAGACAUGUGGCCCCAUCUAACCUGGGGGAGGCUGGAAUGCAUAGCCCUGCUGAGAGCCCAGGACAAAAGGGAGCUGGAUCUGGCAAGCGCACCGCACUGACUUUACCAUAACAUGUUUAGGAGGUAAAUCAUCAGGGCUCUAUAACUGAUUCACCAUGGAGGACAGAGAAAGGAAAAACCAGAGAGCUUCCAGGUUUCCACCAAGGAGUUUGGAACAGGAUGCCUUAGAUGGUGAAUACAGCAGCCACUGCCUGAGCAAGAGAGAGCUGGACACAGAGGCUUGCAUUUAGAAGAGAAGCCGGUCUGGAAAGGGCCGUCAGGGAGCAAGCCCUGCCUGGCUGGCAUGUAGCAGAGCUGCAUGGGGGAGGCCUCACAGGCCCUGCCAGGCAGCCCGGGAGGCGCAGGCCGCCCUUAGAGACAAGACAGAGGCUGGACACAGAGCCUGACUGGCCGAGACCUUUCCAGUGAAUUCUGUGCCACCAGAAGGACAGGCCAGCCCCAGUGGACUCUAGGCUUUGUCCCUGCAGGAGCCUGGCCUCCCAGAAUCUAAGCCCUUCACUGGACCCAGCUCCAUGGCCUGCAGGCAGGAGGCCCUCAAUGAACACGGGCUGGCAUGGUGUGAAUUCACCACCCUGCCUCUCCGCUCCUUCGUACUUCCCAGGAGGGGAAAUACAACAGGCGUGUCCAGCAUCACAGGGCAGAAACUCUCCACAAAAGCCUCAGACUAGACUAAGAGAGACAUUAUUCACUUCCAAAUGCUCCAAACGGCAAAAGAGUGAGCCUGAGGACAAGAAAAGUAUUCAGGACUGUAAAUAUUUAAGGAGCAACCACUCAAUGCCAAGGAUGCUGGGCUCUGAGCCAAACCACAUUCAGGAAGAGACCAGUGUACAGCAUGAAAGACUUAGGUUUUCACAUUUGUUUGAAAACGUAAGCAAUUACUAAGUAAAAAUUAAAAGACUGGCUCCGUGUGGUGGCUCAUCCCA